rnacentral:lncRNA from 1 species
GAAUCGUCCAGUGAUUCAUUUGUUCCCAAACCCCUCCUUAGCGCGAAGCUAAUCUGCGCUGAUUGGACCGAUGACAGUCUGUCGCGAUUGGUCGACUGCCUUCAGUCAGAGAGGGAAAUGGCCAAUAGCUAAUCAACAAUUUAAAAAGUAAUCACAGUUCAUACACGCUCGAUAGUGUAGACGUGGAUUUUAGCUGCCACACUAUGGCGAGUGGAUAGUGCCACGGAUAACCGAACGAAGGAGACAGUCGUGUACUCGCCAUACCACACACACACAAAAACACACACACACCUCCGGAUGACAACGCUCCCGCUUCCGCCCGCACCCGCCAGGUUUUAGCCUAAGAACCCGCUCCGUUUUCUGCCCGCCGCGCCCGGUCCCGCUAGAGCGGAGAACACAACCAAAAAUCACUGUCUGUAUAAACACACACACACACACACAGCACAAAGCUCGCUCGUUCGUUCGCUCUCUCUCUUCUCUCUCUCUCUCUCUCUCUCAUACGCGCGCAUUUCUGCGGCGCGGGAAUAAAUUUCCGAAUAAAUCGCGGGAGCAGAACUCUAGCACGGAGCUCCAUAAACAAACAGCACGCGUCGCGUUUUUAACGUGACUUUGCACGCGAUAAGAUAAAAUAUCCAGUUAACCUGAUACAGUACACGC